rnacentral:snRNA from 1 species
GUGCCGCUCACGCCCGGUC